rnacentral:lncRNA from 1 species
CCGCCACCGCCGUCCCCACUCCUAGGCACACAGGUCAAGGAGGACCGCGCUGACUACAAAGAGUUCCAGGACUUCUCCAGUCUGCCCGACACCCACAACAUCGCCUGGGACCACUCUUUCUACCCUUUCCAGGAGGAGGAGGAGCACGGCGUCAAGGGUGUGGAGAGCGUCCUGGAGAAGGGCGUUCUGGACGAGGGCGUCCUGGAGGCAUGGGGCUGCUGCAGACCCGCCACGCAGGGUGGAACCGAUCGCAACCGAGCCCUGAGCUAGCAGGGGCGGUUAUCCACGCGAGGGCCCCCGCCGUGGGAUGUCGCCAGAGGAGUGGUCACUUACACGUCCGCCUCAAGCAGAGGCUCCUGGAGCGCCCCUGCCAGGAGCCGUUGGGGAAAAAGUACCAGCUUGAGCUGCCUCCGCUCUACGAGAGGGCGCGGAAGCCCGAGGGCUCGAAGAACUUGCCUGCAGAUGGUCAGGGACUGCGAGCUGUCCGCGCUGACGCUGCGCUCCCUGUGUGGCCCGGAGGACCGGGGCGCCCUGGACCACAGCGCCAGAGGCCGGUGCCGAAGGGCAGCACCAAGGACAGUGGCCACCUGCGGACACCCGCCACCUGCGGACACCCAAGUGGCCGUACAAGGUGGCCACGGAGGAGAAACCGGAGGCUGAGGAGGCCGAGAAGAAGCGCCAGGCCAAGGUGCAGGAGAAGCGCCUGCCGCCGUGGAAGAAGAGGCCUGUUCCUAAUGUGUUCCAGCCUUAAUCAGGUGCACAGGGUACCCUGGGGCCAGCACAGGGCUUGUCAAGUAAUGCUCCUGGUGUCCACAAAACAGCUCCAGAGAUACCUGCAUUUUGAAAAGCCUGCCAAGCCAGCAAAUAUGGGGCAGGACCCAGAUUGCUUUGGCAAAUCUGAAGGUGAGCUGGCCACUUGAGUGUGGAGGCGAGUCUGUUGUGGGUGAAACAGAAGCCCCUGGGGUAAGGCCAGACCCCAGGCCUGAAAAGGAUGCAAAGCCUGCUGUUUCAGGCUGUCAGGAAGAAUCAUGGCUACAAAGUGAAUAUGAUGAAAUGCAUCCCAGAGAGGAAAUGAAUGUGCCUUCACUAAGAAGUGGGUCUGGCUGCCAGGUCUCUGGCAGUCCACUGGCGAAAGGACUACAUCCCCUGCAGCCCUGCCAUCCACACUACAUGAUGUGGGAAUGCUGUCUCUUCACUCUUACCCUGGGGACCCAAGCCUGCUUUGAGGUGUGCCCGGAGACUCAAGCUUGCUCAUUUCUGUCCUGACACAUCUCUCUGGUCCUGUGGUGGUCAGAGUCCUCCUGUUCUGUGUCAGCUCCUAGACAUCAUUAGUGUUUCACGUGAUAAGAUUGGAAGCCAUGAGAAAAAACCUUCCUCAAAUCCUAACCAAGAUGAUUUCCACUCAUCAGAAUAUGCUUAUAGGUGUGGAAUUGCAGAGGCUGUUGGUCUUCCAAGUAUUCCUGUUCAUCCAAUUGGAUACUAUGAUGCAGAGAAGCUCCUAG